rfam:Lactobacillus collinoides DSM 20515 = JCM 1123 strain DSM 20515 NODE_2, whole genome shotgun sequence.
CAAACAUCGCAGUGAUGUGGUGCAGAACGAUACAGGAGUCAGCCGAGGCCAUAGUAGUGGUAUCUGCCACGAAGGGC